rnacentral:rRNA from 1 species
GACGAACGCUGGCGGCGUGCUUAACACAUGCAAGUCGAACGGAAAGGCCCUGCUUUUGUGGGGUGCUCGAGUGGCGAACGGGUGAGUAACGCGUGAGUAACCUGCCCUUGACUUUGGGAUAACUUCAGGAAACUGGGGCUAAUACCGGAUAGGAGCUCCUGCUGCAUGGUGGGGGUUGGAAAGUUUCGGCGGUUGAGGAUGGACUCGCGGCUUAUCAGCUUGUUGGUGGGGUAGUGGCUUACCAAGGCUUUGACGGGUAGCCGGCCUGAGAGGGUGACCGGCCACAUUGGGACUGAGAUACGGCCCAGACUCCUACGGGAGGCAGCAGUGGGGAAUAUUGCACAAUGGGCGGAAGCCUGAUGCAGCAACGCCGCGUGCGGGAUGACGGCCUUCGGGUUGUAAACCGCUUUCGCCUGUGACGAAGCGUGAGUGACGGUAAUGGGUAAAGAAGCACCGGCUAACUACGUG